UACGUAGGGACCAAGCGUUGUUCGGAUUUACUGGGCGUAAAGGGCGCGUAGGCGGCGCGGUAAGUCACUUGUGAAAUCUCUGAGCUUAACUCAGAACGGCCAAGUGAUACUGCAGUGCUAGAGUGUGGAAGGGGCAAUCGGAAUUCUUGGUGUAGCGGUGAAAUGCGUAGAUAUCAAGAGGAACACCUGAGGUGAAGACGGGUUGCUGGGCCAACACUGACGCUGAUGCGCGAAAGCGUAGGGGAGCGAACGGG
rnacentral:rRNA from 1 species